rnacentral:rRNA from 1 species
UACGUAGGGGGCAAGCGUUGUCCGGAUUUAUUGGGCGUAAAGAGCGUGUAGGCGGCUGGGUAGGUCCGCUGUGAAAACUCGAGGCUUAACCUCGAGACGUCGGUGGAAACCAUCCAGCUAGAGUCCGGAAGAGGAGAGUGGAAUUCCUGGUGUAGCGGUGAAAUGCGCAGAUAUCAGGAAGAACACCCGUGGCGAAAGCGGCUCUCUGGGACGGUGCUGACGCUGAGACGCGAAAGCGUGGGGAGCGAACAGG